ensembl:lncRNA
AGGACUGCCCCGCCUACAAGUCUUACCUCAUUACAGCAUCAGUGCAGAACAAUGGCUCUCACUGUCUACUCUGGCCCAGGUGCAGAUGAGGCCCCUUGAGUACUUUGCUCCUCUCUCUGAAAACCUAGAUCCAGUAGGAGGCCAUAGGAAAGUUUGGCUUUACAGAAAUGUGGAAAGUUUCCCUUCCAAGAGCACUGGAGCAAGCAGACACCACACAGAGAUGAAGCAGGUGAGCAUAAUAUAAAUAGGAGCACCCUUGUGAAUGUAGCAUUCCAGCCCCUCACACAAUCUUCAACAAUUAAGGAAUGGGAAGAAGUAUGUAGAUUUCCCUGGUCUUUUAGUGAAGCUGAGCUAUCGCCCAUGAAGCUUUCUGUGCAAGGCCUAUGGAGAAAUGAUUUGAAAGCGCUGCAUGGUUGAAUGAGCUGAAGAGUAGAAUGUCCAUCGUGUACAUGUCCCAGGCUCAUCUGCAACAUCCAGUUUUCCACCUGACCACACAAAAAUGGCUUAGCUAUAAAUUAUUGUUUUAGUGUCAGCAAAUAAAGUUUUCAUGG